UACGUAGGGCGCAAGCGUUGUCCGGAAUUAUUGGGCGUAAAGAGCUCGUAGGCGGCCUGUUGCGUCCGCUGUGAAAUCCCGGGGCUCAACCCCGGGCCUGCAGUCGAUACGAGCAAACUAGAGUGUUGCAGGGGAGACUGGAAUUCCUGGUGUAGCGGUGAAAUGCGCAGAUAUCAGGAGGAACACCGGUGGCGAAGGCGGGUCUCUGGGCAACAACUGACGCUGAGGAGCGAAAGCGUGGGGAGCGAACAGG
rnacentral:rRNA from 1 species